rnacentral:lncRNA from 1 species
AAUUUAUUGAAACUUUGAUGGUAUAACGACAUGAAAUUGUCGAAUCCACAUAUUUAAUCCGAUUUAAUGCAAUAAAAUUAAAUAACAACAAAUCAAUAUUAUUUAAUGCUACAAACUUACAAAUUAUUUACAAAGUAUCAAAUGAGUAAUGGCCCAAAGAUCCACCAUUCAUAAUCUUAUUUAGUCUUGAAUAAUAAAUAAAUCUUAAAACCAAAUAAAAUAUGUAACAAUAAAUAAAUAAAGCAAAAAAAAUAAAAAUAAUAAAAA